CAGGACACAUGAUGAUCUCACCCCAACUUGGACUCUCUCACUGAUUACUUGAUGACAGUAAAAGACGUGAUAUUCUG
rnacentral:snoRNA from 7 species